rnacentral:rRNA from 1 species
AAAACUUUCAACAACGGAUCUCUUGGCUCUGGCAUCGAUGAAGAGCGCAGCGAAAUGCGAUAAGUAAUGUGAAUUGCAGAAUUCAGUGAAUCAUCGAAUCUUUGAGCGCACAUUGCGUCCGCCAGUAUUCUGGCGGGCAUGCCUGUUCGAGCGUCAUUU